rnacentral:misc_RNA from 1 species
GAAAUGCGAUAAUUAAUGUGAAUUGCAGAAUUCAGUGAAUCAUCGAGUCUUUGAACGCACAUUGCACCCCCUGGUAUUCCGGGGGGUAUGCCUGUCCGAGCGUCAUUGCUGCCCUCAAGCCCGGCUUGUGUGUUGGGUCCUCGCCCCCCCCCGGGGGACGGGCCCGAAAGGCAGCGGCGGCACCGCGUCCGGUCCUCGAGCGUAUGGGGCUUUGUCACACCGCUCUCGUAGGCCCGGCCGGCGCUGGCCGACGCUGAAAAGCAACCAUUAUUUCUCCAGGUUGACCUCGGAUCAGGUAGGGAUACCCGCUGAACUUAAGC